rnacentral:rRNA from 1 species
UGGGGAAUAUUGCACAAUGGGCGCAAGCCUGAUGCAGCCAUGCCGCGUGUAUGAAGAAGGCCUUCGGGUUGUAAAGUACUUUCAGCGAGGAGGAAGGCGAUGUGGUUAAUAACCGCAGCGAUUGACGUUACUCGCAGAAGAAGCACCGGCUAACUCCGUGCCAGCAGCCGCGGUAAUACGGAGGGUGCAAGCGUUAAUCGGAAUUACUGGGCGUAAAGCGCACGCAGGCGGUCUGUCAAGUCGGAUGUGAAAUCCCCGGGCUCAACCUGGGAACUGCAUCCGAAACUGGCAGGCUAGAGUCUUGUAGAGGGGGGUAGAAUUCCAGGUGUAGCGGUGAAAUGCGUAGAGAUCUGGAGGAAUACCGGUGGCGAAGGCGGCCCCCUGGACAAAGACUGACGCUCAGGUGCGAAAGCGUGGGGAGCAAACA